UCUUCUCUUCCUCGCUUGUCUGAGCUUCAGCACAGUCCAAGAUGGCUGGCAGUAAGACUGGAAAGGACUCCAGAAAGGCCAAGACAAAGGCGGUUUCCCACUCGCAACGAGAUGGCUGUAUUCAUCAAUGCCUAAAAUCUAGGACAAUCAGCCACAGACAAGUGGGCGCGACCAAUGCUAUGUGCAGCACAACCAUCUGGAGUACCUCACUGCAGUGGUACUUGAGUUGGCAGGAAAUGUAUCAUGCGAAUUAAAGGCAAAGCGUAUUACCCCCGGCAUAACUUGAUAUACAGGACAUGAAGAAUUGAAUUCUGUGGUCAAGGCUGCAAUUUCUGGGGGUAGUAUCAUUCACACAUCCACAAAUCACUGAUUGGAAAGGAAGGACAACAGAUGUCUAAGGAUGCCUUGGAUUCCUUAUUAUCUCAGGACUCUAUUCUUAACAGCUAUCUGGUGUUGGUGAUUCCAGUUGACUGCAUCUCUGUGAAAAACACAAGUUUGCCUUUUUGUAAUUCUAUUUGA